rnacentral:rRNA from 1 species
AUUGAACGCUGGCGGCAGGCAUAACACAUGCAAGUCGAGCGGGGUGAUGGUGCUUGCACUAUCACUUAGCGGCGGACGGGUGAGUAAUGCUUAGGAAUCUGCCUAUUAGUGGGGGACAACAUCUCGAAGGGGAUGCUAAUACCGCAUACGUCCUACGGGAGAAAGCAGGGGAUCACUUGUGACCUUGCGCUAAUAGAUGAGCCUAAGUCGGAUUAGCUAGUUGGUGGGGUAAAAGCCUACCAAGGCGACGAUCUGUAGCGGGUCUGAGAGGAUGAUCCGCCACACUGGGACUGAGACACGGCCCAGACUCCUACGGGAGGCAGCAGUGGGGAAUAUUGGACAAUGGGGGGAACCCUGAUCCAGCCAUGCCGCGUGUGUGAAGAAGGCCUUAUGGUUGUAAAGCACGUUAAGCGAGGAGGAGGCUCUUUUGGUUAAUACCCAAGAUGAGUGGACGUUACUCGCAGAAUAAGCACCGGCUAACUCUGUGCCAGCCGCCGCCGUAA